rnacentral:lncRNA from 1 species
GCGGAAAAAAAACCUUGUUCGUACCGGAGGACUUGAAAACGAGGGAUGUAGAUCAUUGCUUUGGAUUGAACCUCCAUAAUUACAUCGUUUGCCUAAUUGAUCGAGAGUGGCCAUGAAAUUGGAAGUGGCCACACUCAUCUUGUGGUACUAAGAAGAAAUCAGAUUUUGGUGCCCCCGGGGCACAUCCCAAAUGGUAAAGGACGGAAUUCUGCAAGGCGAGCAGUUCAGAGGUCGCAUGUUCGAUUCAUGGAGCUCUUAGAAGGCAGGAUAUUUCCUAAAAGGCAGGAGUUCUCUUGGAAGGCAAGACGCAUACAUGAGUUUGACUCGCUCGACACUUUGACAGUUCAGUUGAGAGAGCUCUUGGACCCUAGCCAAUUUGUGGCACAACCCGCGAUUUACCUGGUUUGCGUAAAGAGGGGCUGGAUCGUAGGCCCUAGGAUUAGUCGCUGUAAAAUGGACACCUAGGUAUCAAAAAAAAAAAAAAAAGAAAUCAGAUUUUGGUGUUGAACUGGGGUUAGCCACUGGUUUAGAUACAAGGUUAUGAGCCUCAUUAGACGAGACCUAGUUAGUAGAUCAAAAUAGUUUGCCACAUAAGUCCCAAUAAUAAUCACCGGAGUGACCUACAUGAUCACAAUGAGUACAUUUUUGUGGUCCACGAUUUCCCAAAUGACCACUACCUCUAAUGUCUCGUCCACCCGGGAGCUAACACCACGGCCACCCUGACUUCUACGUCCACCCCUGAUUGAGCCACCCUAAGUAAUAAAAAUAGAAUGAUCUCCUUUGGGUAUACUAUCCGAGAGAGUAGAGCACUGAAUACGAGAAAAUGUCUCUACUAAAUUGGGAAGCUCUUUUUUACCUAAU